GACGAACGCUGGCGGCGUGCUUAACACAUGCAAGUCGAACGGAAAGGCCCUUCGGGUUCCCCGAGUGGCGAACGGGCGAGCAACACGUGGGCGAUUUGCCCUGCACCCUGGGAUAAGCCUGGGAAACUGGGUCUAAUACCGAAUAGGACCACGCGCUUCAUGGUGUGUGGUGGAAAGCUUUUGCGGUGUGGGAUGGGCCCGUGGCCUAUCAGCUUGUUGGUGGGGUAAUGGCUUACCAAGGCGCCGACGGGUAGCCGGCCUGAGAGGGUGACCGGCCACACUGGGACUGAGAUACGGCCCAGACGCCUACGGGAGGCAGCAGGGGGGAAUAUUGCACAAUGGGCGCAAGCCUGAUGCAGCGACGCCGCGUGAGGGAUGACGGCCUUCGGGUUGUAAACCUCUUUCAAUAGGGACGAAGCGAAAGUGACGGUACCUAUAGAAGAAGCACCGGCCAACUACGUG
rnacentral:rRNA from 1 species